rnacentral:rRNA from 1 species
AUUGAACGCUGGCGGCAUGCCUUACACAUGCAAGUCGAACGGUAACAGGUUAAGCUGACGAGUGGCGAACGGGUGAGUAAUGUAUCGGAACGUGCCCAGUCGUGGGGGAUAACUGCUCGAAAGAGCAGCUAAUACCGCAUACGACCUGAGGGUGAAAGCGGGGGAUCGCAAGACCUCGCGCGAUUGGAGCGGCCGAUAUCAGAUUAGGUAGUUGGUGAGGUAAAGGCUCACCAAGCCGACGAUCUGUAGCUGGUCUGAGAGGACGACCAGCCACACUGGGACUGAGACACGGCCCAGACUCCUACGGGAGGCAGCAGUGGGGAAUUUUGGACAAUGGGCGCAAGCCUGAUCCAGCCAUGCCGCGUGCGGGAAGAAGGCCUUCGGGUUGUAAACCGCUUUUGUCAGGGAAGAAAAGGUUCUGGCUAAUACCUGGGACUCAUGACGGUACCUGAUGAAUAAGCACCGGCUAACUACGUG